UCUGGGGCCAGUCUAGUGUGGGACGACACGGCCGACAUCACUCUCACCGUCAGCUACGUCCUGGUUAAGGGAGAGUUCCACGUCGGCAGCGACGAUUGUAGAUUCACCAAGAAAGGCAACGUCGUCCUUACAGGCCUCAGCAACUCGACAUUGAACGUUCCUGGUUUCGGCCGGAAGUUCAUCGGUGUGACGGCAGGGGGCGUUCUGGAGCUUCACGGCA